GAGACCACAUGAUGCAGGGCUAUGAGCCAAGGGAUAAGGACAGCUUCUAGGAGGUACAGAAGGCAAGGAAACAAUUCUCUCUUCAAGGCUCCAGGAGGAACGAACUGCCGACACCUGGACUUGAACUCUGGAAGACUCAUUUCGGACUUCUGACCUCCAGACGGGAAGGUCUUGGAAGCCACUGUUAUUCUUCGCAUCAAGCCACCACUUCGCGUCAUCCUCAGAGCACGAAUUGCUCUGAGCCACCUCAAAACCCUCCAGUGAACCAGCCAAGGAAGCUGGCAAUAAAGUGGACCUAAGCUGGCCCUCUUCCCUUCACAUCUGAGGCAUGCCCUUUCCCAUCUGCGCAGGUUGAGGAGAUGUAUUCUGGAGCUUCUAAGCAGAUAGCCACUGGUGUCUCAUUGGCCAGGACAGGCCAUGUGGCCCUCUUAGCGGCAAGGUGAGCUGGGAAGCCAGAUAUUCUGCAAAGAACAGGCCUGAAUGGCUUCAACCAGUCAUGAUUCCUGCUCCGGAGCUUCCACGUUGCCUCCCUCACACAUAAUCGAGACCUGCUGCUAACAGCGUCUGCCAUAGGGUGGGAGGUGGGCUUUGGUCUGACUCAUACAGUCUCCUCCUGGAUGUGAAAAAUGGCAGGUGGCUCCCUCGUGGCUUCGGCGCUGUGGAAACCACUGCUGGUUCCAGCUGAGCCCGCUGUUCUUUGCUCAUACAUUCCCAAGAAGAUGAUUAUGCAGAACAGCGAGAGCUUUCUUGUUUCCCCGAAUAUUCUUGAGAAAGAAGGCUGCGUUAAUAAUUUGUUUUCUUGGUAUGGGCCAUUCGGUUGCAAAACGAUAUUCCAGUCAUAGCACGAUACUUCCCGUCCUCAUUUAUAUUCACGGUUGGUUUAAUUAUGUUUUUCAGUCAGAAUACUUAUUAAUUUUAUAGACCUACCUGAAAAUUAAAUUGGAUAAAUUCCUUUUGCUUGGUACCUUGAAAAA